GGGGGGAGGGGGCCAGGCAGCCGUUAGACAGCACAACCGAACCCAACACCGGGGCCCAACGGCAGGGGCUUGGGCAGGAGCAAGGUCCGAGGGCUGCCAGGUCCACGCUGCUUUUAUGAGCUGUAACACUCACCGCGAAGAUCUGCAGCUUCACUCCUGAGCCCAGCGAGACCACGAGCCCACCGGGAGGAACAAACAACUCCAGACGCGCUGCCUUAAGAGCUGUAACACUUGCCGUGAAGGUCUGCAGCUUCACUCCUGAGCCAGCGAGACCACGAACCCACCAGAAGGAAGAAACUCCGAACACAUCUCAACAUCAGAACGGACAGACUCCAGACGCACCACCUUAAGAGCUGUAACACUCACCGCGAGGUUCCGCGGCUUCAUUCUUGAAGUUCGUGAGCCACACAUCUCCCCACACCAAGCUCCUCCAUACAAGACCUCGGACUGCAUCACGUAAAUGCUUUUUCAGGGGCAAAAUCUAGAGAAUCUGAAACGAGCUAUCAGCUUCCCAGUUUGCACAAUUCAUCAAGAAAUUAUGCGGGGUCACUGGCACAAAUGAUGAGGCAUCUCCUGGAAGCUUAACUUCUUAUCCAUCCCAUCUCUUGGACAGAUGAUGCCAGUUAAUUACUUUGAAUGGGUCUGUCACACGCAGCCCAACUCAACUGGAGUCCUGAGAAGGUGAACAGACCAGGAUGGAUGGCCAGGGAACUCACCAGAAGUCCCCAGGCAUCAGAACAAGGUCGAAGCAUCCUGAAGCCGACAGCUCUGGGCUUGUGCCCAUCAAGCACUCUUCUGCCCAUUUUAUACUCUUGUGGACGCAUGGUGGUGUUGAUACAGGCCCCGAGUUAAAGGAUCCAUGGCUGCACGUGACAAGACAAAGCAAAAGCAGGCCAGAGUUAAACACGCCCCUUGGGUCCCCUCCUUCACUUCAUAAAUGGGAAAACCAAGGUCUAGGCAGGGAAAGGGGCUCAGCCAAGGCUACAUACACAGCACACUCACGGCCGAGCCGGGAUUAGGACUCCCAGCAUACCCCGUAGCCUUCUCUAAUAAGAGAUAGGCUGCUGGGUUCUUCUUUAUCAAGUGUUGGUCACUCAUUAUUUCUCUCUGUGUUUCUUAAAACAAUUAUUCUUUAAUAUCGUUAUAUAUUCAGUAAGUGUUCAAAUUUCCAACUGUUUUAUGUCAGAAAGCAUUUUCUAACAUUUUGAUUAAAUCAAGAUCCAAAUAAGAUGCACACAA
ensembl:lncRNA novel transcript